AGUAUACAUAAAUAUUCGUAUUAUUAUUUUUUUAAACAAGAAUGUUGUUUAGUUUAUGAUUCUGAACGAAGCGAGGAACUUAUUGGUUUUGCUAUGAUGUGUGUUUUUUUCUAUGUUUGUAUACGACUUUUUACCGGAAGUCGUGCUCAAAUCGAAAAUCGUAUGAGAACUUUAUUGUAGCAUUUUUUUUUUUUUUUAUCUAGUAGAUGCAUUUUUUGAUAAACCUUAUAAGGUUAGUCCGUUUAAUAAACAAGAAACUUGCAAUUUAUUAUAUCAUUUUUGUGUUAUUUCUGGGUUACUCUGGCUACAAGGGAAAAGAUAAGACGAAUAAUACGCUGUUCAAAAUCGUUUUUCAUCAAAAAUGUUUUAUUGUUAG